rnacentral:rRNA from 1 species
AUACGUAGGUGGCAAGCGUUGUCCGGAUUUAUCGGGCGUAAAGCGAGCGCAGGCGGUCUCUUAAGUCUGAUGUGAAAGCCCCCGGCUCAACCGGGGAGGGUCAUUGGAAACUGGGAGACUCGAGUGCAGAAGAGGAGAGUGGAAUUCCAUGUGUAGCGGUGAAAUGCGUAGAUAUAUGGAGGAACACCAGUGGCGAAGGCGGCUCUCUGGUCUGUAACUGACGCUGAGGCUCGAAAGCGUGGGGAGCAAACAGGAUUAGAUACCCUGGUAGUCCACGCCGUAAACGAUGAGUGCUAAGUGUUGGAGGGUUUCCGCCCUUCAGUGCUGCAGCUAACGCAUUAAGCACUCCGCCUGGGGAGUACGGCCGCAAGGCUGAAACUCAAAUGAAUUGACGGGG